AUGCGCUGCUCUCAGGCGGGAUUCGGGGGUGGGAGAGGGAUCAGUGCCCAAAGGACCACCGGGCCUGUGGCCUGUAUGCCCAGUCAGGAGACCCAGGCAGCCUGGUCAGCCUGGAGGCUGACGGUGGGCCCAGGAGAUCUGGGAAGGACAUCAGUGUCUCCACAAAGAACAGCAGGGUCUCAGACCCCAGCAGCCGCAGCCCCCACAGCUGGGGCCGCAGCCUUGAGAGCCACCACAGCAGCCCAUUGGUCUAGGGGGUCAAAGGUGGAGGCUGUCAGAGGGGCAGUGCAGGGGCUGCUGGGGUGAAGUCCCCUGUAGUGGGACCACCCAUCCUGCUGUGACUCUGCCCUCCUGGACCCCCUGCCCUCCUGGACCCCCUGCCCUCCUGGACCCCUGUCUGUGGCCCCUGCUCCUCUCCUUCCCUGACACACGACUGGGUCCCCGAUCUGUAGCCGGGGUCUGAGCACCUGGGGCCCUGUGGGCCUCUCGGUGUCUGGGGACAAUCACAGGUUCCCGUGCCCAUGCCCAGCCUCUGCUUCCAGAACACACUAGAGGGUCCCAGCAUCCUGAUGACUCCACUGUCCCCGCGAUGGUUUUCAGGGAUGGAGAAGGCUCCCUGUCCUCCACAGGAACCCUGCAGCAGGGCUGACGGCCUGUGUACCCCACCACUCGCCCAGGGGCCCCAGACCCUCCCCCAUCUCCACCGCUAACCCAGGCCCAGGCUGCCCACCCGGGGCCAGGCCGUGAGCUGCCGUCCCCAGAUGGGGCCGCCCUUGGCUGGCCUAGCUCACUCCGUGUCACAGAUAUUCCCACAGAGACCCCAGCGAGACCUGCAGAACAUUACAGCAAAAUGAAGGAGAGCCAGAGGAAGAGGCAGAUGUGCUGGCCUGUAAACAGUCUGAUUUCCAAUGUAAACCAGAUUCAGGCCACGACAUCAGGUAAACAUCUGCAUCACAGCCCCGGGGCCCCACCGCCCGGGAGGCCCCGGGGUCCACACGGCCGACUCUGGGACCCGUCACGGUGACCGCUGAGACAUUUCGCAAUUAGGCAGAAUUGAUCCUUGCAUUCCUUCCCUAAAUCCCACAUCUCUGCAAUUUCACUUCUUCUCAAAAAUGAAAACAUUUGGCAAUUAGCUGAUCCAAGUGAAAAAGGUAGAGAAUGUGCUCUCAACUGGAAAAUGCCAAUUAAGGAAGCAGCUCUGACUUCCCACCCGCCCUGGCUAAGCUGGGAGCUUAUCUUCCCCGAGAGGAAUCUGCUGGGAUAAGGGGGCUUGGGAAACAUCGAGGGCAGGGCUGCCUCCUCAGCUUCCUCUGAGAACGGAUUAGCCAUGGCCUUGCACCAGCGUGGCCUGGGUGCCGCACGGGGUGGCGGGGUAGCUGGGCCUGGCUCUGGCAUUGGGACUUGGGGUGGUGGGACCCAGUGGGCCACCCUCUUGUGGGCAGCACUGAGGGCGGUGACAUAGGCAGCGAGUGCUGGUGUCUGUCCCUCCAGCUGGCCGGGCUCCCCACUGGGCUCCUGCAGCCCUGGACCUCAGGGCCCAUUUGCGGUGCAAGGGGGCUCUUGCCGGUCUCCACUCCUAAAUGUUUUGCAUUGAAAAUGCCCCUUUGUUUGUUUUCUUGUGUUCCAUUUAUUUGUUCUGUAUGCUUUUUUACUUAAUUUAAAUAAUUUUAAAAUGUGAAA